AUUGCUAUAAAUCUCGGUGAGGAUGUUAAUUAUAUAGUGCAGUCUUCCCUAAAUUGUUUAUUAUUUUCAUACAUUAUCAGGCGAGUUCUGAUUUUUAGCAAGAACACUUGAAUUUAUAGAGCUUCCUUGCCUCCCCCCCUCCUCCUUUUUUUUUCACUCUCUCACUUUAAAACUCUUAGUCAAUGCAUGCUAAUGUUCUUGUCUUUUCUUUUCCCUCCCUUUUUUUACUAUAGUAAGCAGG
rnacentral:misc_RNA from 1 species